GUAGGUGGCAAGCGUUGUCCGGAAUUAUUGGGCGUAAAGCGCGCGCAGGCGGUCCUUUAAGUCUGAUGUGAAAGCCCACGGCUCAACCGUGGAGGGUCAUUGGAAACUGGGGGACUUGAGUACAGAAGAGGAAAGCGGAAUUCCAAGUGUAGCGGUGAAAUGCGUAGAGAUUUGGAGGAACACCAGUGGCGAAGGCGGCUUUCUGGUCUGUAACUGACGCUGAGGCGCGAAAGCGUGGGGAGCAAACAGGAUUAGAUACCCUGGUAGUCCACGCCGUAAACGAUGAGCGCUAAGUGUUAGGGGGUUUCCCGCCCCCCUUAGUGCUGCAGCUAACGCAUUAAGCACUCCGCCUGGGGAGUACGGCCGCAGGCUG
rnacentral:rRNA from 1 species